UCAUGUUUAACUCUUGCUUUCUGAUGACUUUGUCAAUACGAUGCUAGUUGAUGAAUUGGUUUUUUUGUAGGAUCCUAAGUGCAUUAUAUGUCAGCAAUAUCAGUUGUAUGUGAUUGUAGGCCAUCUGCUUUUGUUUGUCUUGAGCACUAGCAACACAUCUGUGAAUGCAAACCCAGCAAACAUUGCUUCCUUGACCGUCAUACAUUAGCAGAGUUAAAGUGACUUGCUGCUCACUGUCGAUAAAUACAAUGGUGAGGAGACUCAAAGGAGUAAGGUGCUCCAGCAAAGAUCUUUCUCCAGCGAAACAAGUUCUUCAGCGAAAAGGUAAAAGGUGGCCAUGCUACUUUGGCUCAUCUUGCGGAUCAAUGGCUGUUGCAGUCAACCGAUGCUCUUAAAAAUCCUUUCUCUAAGGAUAUUUAUCAAAAACUGUUGAAAGAAGGUGAACAAUUUCUUUGGGCUGGUUUUGACAUGGAUCCUGUUAGU